rnacentral:snRNA from 1 species
GGAUAUGAGGGUGAUCUGGUGCAGCAUCUGUCACCCCAUUGAUCGCCAGGGUUGAUUCGGCUGGUCUGGCUGGCUAGGCAGGUGUCCCUUUCCUCCCUCACUGCUCCAUGUGCGUCCCUCCUGAAGGUUCACACUCGGUCUAAGAGGACGGCCUUCCCCAAAUAGAGAUGGACUGGUCUUCGGACGAGUAGCUGCACUCCCCUGCUAGAACCUCCAAACAAGCUCUCAAGAGGCAAUCUAUAGGUGUCAUCAAUUUCAUUGCAUGAAUGUCAGACUGUAUACAAAGAUUACCUCUCUACCAUGAGUGUUAAAAACAGGUGAUAGGU